rnacentral:rRNA from 1 species
UACGGAGGGUGCAAGCGUUAUCCGGAUUCACUGGGUUUAAAGGGUGCGUAGGCGGGCAGGUAAGUCCGUGGUGAAAUCUCUGAGCUUAACUCAGAAACUGCCAUGGAUACUAUUUGUCUUGAAUGUUGUGGAGGUAAGCGGAAUAUGUCAUGUAGCGGUGAAAUGCUUAGAUAUGACAUAGAACACCAAUUGCGAAGACAGCUUACUACACAAAUAUUGACGCUGAGGCACGAAAGCGUGGGGAUCAAACAGG